UACGGGGGGGGCAAGCGUUGUUCGGAAUUACUGGGCGUAAAGGGCUCGUAGGCGGCCAACUAAGUCAGACGUGAAAUCCCUCGGCUUAACCGGGGAACUGCGUCUGAUACUGGAUGGCUUGAGUUUGGGAGAGGGAUGCGGAAUUCCAGGUGUAGCGGUGAAAUGCGUAGAUAUCUGGAGGAACACCGGUGGCGAAGGCGGCAUCCUGGACCAACACUGACGCUGAGGCGCGAAAGCUAGGGGAGCGAACAGG
rnacentral:rRNA from 1 species